rnacentral:SRP_RNA from 1 species
GGAGGUUGGUGGUGGACGAUCCACUCGCCAACCGGGUCAGGUCCGGAAGGAAGCAGCCCUAACG